UGGGGAAUAUUGCACAAUGGGCGCAAGCCUGAUGCAGCCAUGCCGCGUGUGUGAAGAAGGCCUUCGGGUUGUAAAGCACUUUCAGCGAGGAGGAAGGCGUUAAGGUUAAUAACCUUGGCGAUUGACGUUACUCGCAGAAGAAGCACCGGCUAACUCCGUGCCAGCAGCCGCGGUAAUACGGAGGGUGCAAGCGUUAAUCGGAAUUACUGGGCGUAAAGCGCACGCAGGCGGUUUGUUAAGUCAGAUGUGAAAUCCCCGAGCUUAACUUGGGAACUGCAUUUGAAACUGGCAAGCUAGAGUCUUGUAGAGGGGGGUAGAAUUCCAGGUGUAGCGGUGAAAUGCGUAGAGAUCUGGAGGAAUACCGGUGGCGAAGGCGGCCCCCCUGGACAAAGACUGACGCUCAGGUGCGAAAGCGUGGGGCAGCAAACAGGAUUAGAUACCCUGGUAGUCCAGCGCUGUAAACGAUGUCGAUUUGGAGGUUGU
rnacentral:rRNA from 1 species